UAUACUAAAAAAAGAAUUUCCUCCUCUUCUCUUUUUUUCUCUUCUUCCAUGUUUUUCCUUUGAAGUUUACCAGUAGAAAAGAUUCUCUGGUCCACUAAUCGCUCUCAAGAAACCAGAAUUAUAAAAGAUAUGAUUUAAUUUAUUUCUUUUUAUCUUCAUUUGAUUCCGUAGCCGGAAGUCUUUUUCCCUAAUGGAGUACGGUCACUGGUACCGUGAAACGACUGCCGGAACGGCUAAAACGGCAUCGUUUAAUAGCUGGGCGCAGCAGACGGAAGAGAACUACCUGUUGCAGCAAGCGUUGGCUUUAAGGCUGUCAUCGCAGGCUGCAUUAGCGAAUGAUUCAAAUUUUUUGGAUUUCAAACCCGAUGAUCAUCUAAGAGGAGGAAUCGCUUCUUUUUCUAAUUCUGCUGAAGCUGUUUCUCAUCGAUUUUGGGUAAAUGGCUGUCUAUCUUACUUUGACAGAAUCCCAGAUGGGUUUUAUUUAAUUCAUGGAGUGGAUCCUUAUGCAUGGACUAUAAGUACAGAUCAACGAGACACGGGCCUGGUCCCAUCACUUGAAUCCUUAAAGGCUCUUGAUCCUUGUGCUGAUUUGUCAAUAAAAGUGGUGUUGAUUGACAGAUUCAGAGAUCCUAGUCUGAAGGAACUACAAAAUAAAGUUAUUAGCCUUUCUAGUUGCUGGAUAAGUACAAAAGAUGUGAUUGAUAAGCUUGCCAAUCUUGUCUGCAGUCGCAUGGGAGGUGUAACCUCUACUGAAGAAGAAACUUUUGGAAUAUGCUGGAAGGAAUGCAAUGAAGUUCUAAAAAACCGUUUAGGAUCUGUCGUGCUUCCAAUUGGAAGCUUACCUCUUGGCCUAUGUGUCCAUCGCGCCCUACUGUUUAAAGUGUUGGCAGACUCAAUUAACUUACCUUGUAGAAUUGCCAAAGGAUGCAAAUAUUGUAGAAGAGAUGUCACUGCUUCUUGUCUCGUGCAGGUUGGUAAUGAGAGGGAAUACUUGGUUGAUUUAUUUGGAAAGCCAGGAAUGUUAAGCCAGCCUGAUUCCUCAAUCAGUUGUGCUUCUUCGAUCUUAGUCUCUUCGCCGUUAUCUCAUCCAAGUUUUAAAGCUGUCCAAACAGCUGAGGAUUUAAGGACAUUGGCCAGACUCUUUUUCUUUGAUUGUCAGUCACUUAAUCUUGCAUUCGAGGAUAUUCCUUCAGACACUGCUAUUGAUCUAGAUGACAAACUUAACCAAACAUUGAAUAAAGACAAGAGGAACCCUCUACCCAUUUCUGGCAACAAUCAUGAAGCUGCAGCACCUCUGCUUAAAAGAGUUGCUGGAAACAUUAACCAUAGCAAGGAUCUCUAUGUUGUAAACUCAGUUAGUGACUCAAAUAGCCUGAUGAAAGGCCCAAUUCCCCUGAGUCCACUCCUACCACCUGGGCAUAUGGAUACAUAUUCAAGUUCUCUCUUCUCCAAUCUGAAGCCUGAUGCAUCAAAUAAUCAAUUGUUCGUGGAAGCAAAUCAGUUAAUAAUAAGUAAAUCAAGUAGUGAACUCCAUCUUGAAGAGGAAGAUUUGGAGAUCCCAUGGAGUGAACUGGAUUUGAAAGAGAAAAUUGGAGAAGGUUCCUUCGGAACUGUCCAUCGUGCUGAUUGGCGUGGUUCAGAUGUUGCUGUAAAAAUUCUCAUUGAGCAAGAUUACCAUGCAGAGCGCUUCAAUGAAUUUUUGCGUGAGGUUGCAACAAUGAAACGAUUGCGGCAUCCAAACAUUGUUCUCUUUAUGGGUGCUGUUACUCAGCCUCCUCACUUGUCUAUAGUUACAGAAUAUCUAUCAAGGGGUAGUUUGCAUAAACUUUUGCAUAUGCCCAAUGCUGGAUUGAUGCUGGAUGAGAAGCGUCGCCUUAAUAUGGCAUAUGAUGUGGCAAAGGGUAUGAACUAUCUUCAUCAGCUGAAACCUCCCAUUGUUCAUCGCGAUUUAAAGUCUCUAAAUCUCUUAGUGGAUAGUAGAUACACUGUAAAGGUUUGUGAUUUUGGUCUUUCUCGUUCAAAAGCAAAUACGUAUCUUUCAUCGAAGACCGCAGCUGGGACUUGCCUGUUCUUUUUCUUUAGCCUGAAUGGAUGGCACCAGAAGUACUCCGUAAUGAGUCAUCAAAUGAAAAGUCUGAUGUUUACAGCUUUGGUGUAAUCUUGUGGGAACUCAUGACCCUUCAACAGCCUUGGAGAACUUUAAAUCAAUCUCAGGUUAUUGCAGCUGUUGGUUUCAAGGGUCAAAGGCUUGAAAUUCCAAAAAACAUAAAUUCUUCAGUGGCUACGCUAAUUGAUGCCUGCUUGACUUCUGAGCCAUCAAAACGUCCAUCGUUUUCAAAUAUUGCAGAAACUUUACAGAAAUUGAUCAGAACUCCCAUUUCACAAGCGGUUAAUAGACAUGUUCGAUGACAAAUCUAUGUAAGUGGAAGAACAAUGAAAUAUCUAAUGCUAUAAAAUGUGCCAUCUAUUCGAUGCUCAUCUGGUUUAUCUUUCAGGUGCCCCAUCUUUGUAUGAAUAGGUCCUAAAUUAAAGCAUCUUUCUUAUAUUUUCUCUUUUGGCA